rnacentral:rRNA from 1 species
AUUGAACGCUAGCGGGAUGCCUUACACAUGCAAGUCGAACGGAGUGGCGAACGGGUGAGUAAUGUAUCGGAACGUGCCCAGUAGCGGGGGAUAACUAAGCGAAAGCGUAGCUAAUACCGCAUACUAUUGGAGCGGCCGAUAUCGGAUUUGCCAGUUGGUGGGGUAAAGCCUCACCAUGGCGACGAUCCGUAGCUGGUUUGAGAGGACGACCAGCCACACGGGGACUUAGGCACGGACCAGACUCCAACGGGAGGCAGCAUUGGGGAAUUGUGGACAAUGGGGGAAACCCUGAUCCAUCCAUCCCGCGUGUGCGAUGAAGGCCUUCGGGUUGUAAAGCACUUUUGGCAGGAAAGCGGUACCUGCAGAAUAAGGAGCGGAUAACGCCGUGCCAGCAGCCGCGGUAAUUC